AGCAGCCGCGGUAAUUCCAGCUCCAAUAGCGUAUAUUAAAGUUGCUGCAGUUAAAAAGCUCGUAGUUGAAUUUCGGGACCGAUAUAUCGGUCGUGCCUCGGUACGUACUGGUAUUUUCGGUUUCUCCCUUCUGACGAGCCUUGAUGUCAUUAAUUUGGUGUCUUGGGGAAUCAGGACUGUUACUUUGAAAAAAUUAGAGUGUUUAAAGCAGGCUCACGCUUGAAUACAUUAGCACGGAAUAAUGAAAUAGGACGUUUGAUUCUAUUUUGUUGGUUUCUAGGAUCGACGUAAUGAUUAAUAGGGAUAGUUGGGGGCAUUAGUAUUCAAUUGUCAGAGGUGAAAUUCUUGGAUUUAUUGAAGACUAACUACUGCGAAAGCAUUCGCCAAGGAUGUUUUCAUUAAUCAAGAACGAAAGUUAGGGGAUCGAAGACGAUCAGAUACCGUCGUAGUCUUAACCAUAAACUAUGCCGACUAGGGAUCGGAUGAUGUUAAUUUUUAAUGACUCAUUCGGCGCCUUACG
rnacentral:rRNA from 1 species